GCCGGAGUGGUGUAGCGGUCUGCACAGAUGUCUGAAAAACAUCUGGUCCCAGUUCGACUCUGGGCUCCGGCA
rnacentral:tRNA from 1 species